rnacentral:rRNA from 1 species
AGAGUUUGAUCCUGGCUCAGGACGAACGCUGGCGGCGUGCUUAACACAUGCAAGUCGAGCGGAAAGGCCCUUCGGGGUACUCGAGCGGCGAACGGGUGAGUAACACGUGAGUAACCUGCCCCUGACUCUGGGAUAAGCCCGGGAAACUGGGUCUAAUACCGGAUAUGACACCUCCUCGCAUGGGGUGGGUGUGGAAAGUUUUUCGGUUGGGGAUGGACUCGCGGCCUAUCAGCUUGUUGGUGGGGUAAUGGCCUACCAAGGCUACGACGGGUAGCCGGCCUGAGAGGGCGACCGGCCACACUGGGACUGAGACACGGCCCAGACUCCUACGGGAGGCAGCAGUGGGGAAUAUUGCGCAAUGGGCGAAAGCCUGACGCAGCGACGCCGCGUGGGGGAUGACGGCCUUCGGGUUGUAAACCUCUUUCAGCAGGGACGAAGUUGACGUGUACCUGCAGAAGAAGCGCCGGCUAACUACGUGCCAGCAGCCGCGGUAAUACGUAGGGCGCAAGCGUUGUCCGGAAUUAUUGGGCGUAAAGAGCUCGUAGGUGGCUUGUCACGUCGGGUGUGAAAGCUUGGGGCUUAACUCCAGGUCUGCAUUCGAUACGGGCUGGCUAGAGGUAGGUAGGGGAGAACGAAAUUCCUGGUGUAGCGGUGAAAUGCGCAGAUAUCAGGAGGAACACCGGUGGCGAAGGCGGUUCUCUGGGCCUUACCUGACGCUGAGGAGCGAAAGCGUGGGGAGCGAACAGGAUUAGAUACCCUGGUAGUCCACGCUGUAAACGUUGGGCGCUAGGUGUGGGGACCUUCCACGGUUUCCGCGCCGUAGCUAACGCAUUAAGCGCCCCGCCUGGGGAGUACGGCCGCAAGGCUAAAAC